rnacentral:rRNA from 2 species
GCACACCCCCGCCGUGAGGUGGAAAAAAAGGUUCUUUAGGUUUCGUAAAAUUUUCUGUUGUUUUGGGGAAAGGAAACAAAUUUUGGUUAGUAAAUUGAUACAAGUCCUUGACCGGUACCUAUCCCAGAAAAAACAAGGCUAAUUUCGUGCCAGCACCSGCGGUAAUAGGUAGGUGGCAAGCGUUAUCCGGAAUUAUUGGGCGURAAGCGCRCGUAGGCGGUUUCUUAAUUCUGAUGUGAAAGCCCACGGCUCAACCCUGGAGGGUCAUUGGGAACUGGGGAACUUGAGUGCAGAAGAGGAGAGGGGAAUUCCAUGUGUAGCGGUGAAAUGCGCAGAGAUAUGGAGGAACACCAGUGGCGAAGGCGGCUCUCUGGUCUGUAUCUGACGCUGAUGUGCGAAAGCGUGGGGAUCAAACAGGAUUAGAUAUCCUGGUAGUCCACGCCGUAAACGAUGAGUGCUAAGUGUUAGGGGGUUUCCGCCCCUUAGUGCUGCAGCUAACGCAUUAAGCACUCCGCCUGGGGAGUACGACCGCAAGGUUGAAACUCAAAGGAAUUGACGGGGACCCGCACAAGCGGUGGAGCAUGUGGUUUAAUUCGAAGCAACGCGAAGAACCUUACCAAAUCUUGACAUCCUUUGAUCGCUCUAGAGAUAGAGUUUUCCCCUUCGGGGGACAAAGUGACAGGUGGUGCAUGGUUGUCGUCAGCUCGUGUCGUGAGAUGUUGGGUUAAGUCCCGCAACGAGCGCAACCCUUAAGCUUAGUUGCCAUCAUUAAGUUGGGCACUCUAGGUUGACUGCCGGUGACAAACCGGAGGAAGGUGGGGAUGACGUCAAAUCAUCAUGCCCCUUAUGAUUUGGGCUACACACGUGCUACAAUGGAUAAUACAAAGGGCAGCGAACCCGCGAGGUCAAGCAAAUCCCAUAAAAUUAUUCUCAGUUCGGAUUGUAGUCUGCAACUCGACUACAUGAAGCUGGAAUCGCUAGUAAUCGUAGAUCAGCAUGCUACGGUGAAUACGUUCCCGGGUCUUGUACACACCGCCCGUCACACCACGAGAGUUUGUAACACCCGAAGCCGGUGGAGUACCCUUUUAUUAGGAGCUAGCCGCGAAGGGAU